rnacentral:rRNA from 1 species
AUGGAGAUCACCGUGCAAUCGUCCAAGUCCGUGAAGCCCGACCACGGCAAAGAUGGUAGCGGCGGCGGCACCGUCAUCCCACUGAGUGUGUUCUACAGGGUGAACUACGACAAAUACAUCUUCUACGUGUACGCCUUCCACCCGCCCGCGCCACCCAGCGUCGACCUCGAGGCGGGGCUUGCCAGGGCGCUGGCCGCGUACCCCAAGUGGGCAGGCCGCCUCGGCGACGGGCCCGUGAUCAUGCUCUGCGACGCCGGCGCGCGCUUUGUCGAUGCUACGGCCGACUCCGAGCUGGGCAGCGGCACCGUCGGGCUGCUGGCCGCGGGAAACAAGGUGCUGAACUUGUACCCUAGUUGUGACGGGGCAGAAGAGCUGCUGCUGGUUCAGGCCACGCUGUUUCGCUGCGGCUCCUUGGUCCUGGGCUUCACCAUGCACCACAAGGUGGCCGACGGGCCUGCCAUGUGGAACUUCAUGUUCGCGUGGGGCCAGACCACUCGCGGCGUCGCCAUCGACCCCGUCCCGGUGCAUGACCGGACGUCGCUCUUCGCAAGACGGGGCCCACCGCAGAUCAGGUUCGAGCACCGUGGCGUCGAGCUCAAGCCUCCUGACGAGAAGCCGGGAAGCGGCGGCGACUGCAUCGUCCAUGCAGACGAUGAGGUGGUGGUACACAAGGUGCACUUUAGGCAGGAGUGGAUCAUGGAGCUCAAGUCGCGGGUAUCGGAGGGCGGCCCCCGGUCGUACUCCACGCUGCAGUGCCUGGCGGCGCACUUCUGGCGAUGCAUCACGAAAGCUCGCAGGCUCGACGGGCGGCAGGCCACCAGGAUCCGCAUCGCCGUGAACGGGCGAACGCGGAUGCGCCACCCGCGGGUACCGGAAGGAUACACCGGCAGUGUGGUGCUUUGGGCGUGGCCGACAACAACGGCACGACAGCUGCUGGACCGGCCUUUGACAUGGACAGCCUGCUAG